rnacentral:rRNA from 1 species
UGGGGAAUUUUGGACAAUGGGCGCAAGCCUGAUCCAGCCAUGCCGAGUGAGUGAAGAAGGCCUUCGGGUUGUAAAGCUCUUUCGGCGGGGACGAAAUGGUUCGUGCCAAUACCACGGACUGAUGACGGUACCUGAAGAAGAAGCACCGGCUAACUACGUGCCAGCAGCCGCGGUAAUACGUAGGGUGCAGGCGUUAAUCGGAAUUACUGGGCGUAAAGCGUGCGCAGGCGGUUUGUUAAGACAGAUGUGAAAUCCCCGGGCUUAACCUGGGAACUGCGUUUGUAACUGGCAGACUGGAGUGUGGCAGAGGGGGGUGGAAUUCCAAGUGUAGCAGUGAAAUGCGUAGAUAUUUGGAGGAACACCGAUGGCGAAGGCAGCCCCCUGGGCUAACACUGACGCUCAUGCACGAAAGCGUGGGGAGCAAACAGGAUUAGAUACCCCGGUAGUCCCUGAGCGGGCUGGCAAGGCGCAU